UCUUGUGUUAGUUUUUUUUUUUUUGUUAAUUUUCCCCUUUUCUCCGUUCCUUUUUUUGUUUUCUAUUUGUUCCAGUUGCCAUUUUUUUUGUUUUUGUGCUGUCGUUCUUGGUGCAAUCGGUUGCAUGGUAUUUGAAAGAGAUUGAUCGCAAUUAAAUAUCGGCCUAUGUAUUGUUUUUUUUAUGAUGAUAAGGUUUAGUUAGUUUUCUCAUGCACAAUUGACAUUUUAAUGUACUAUGAACCUCAUUUGUUAAUCGUGUUGUUUUCUAUGUAAAGUUUGCGAGACGACUAAUCCUUCAGCGAUC
rnacentral:lncRNA from 1 species